CCUGUUAGAAGCCUGCCUGAACACCUGCAGAAUUCGUGUUGCCAUUGGUUUUGGCAAGCAGAGUGCAGUCUGUACUUGAUUGCACUGUGGAUACCACAAAUAAAAAGAGGGAAGGUGAAGCUCGUUGCAGAACAGCCCAGCUUGCCAUUCAGAUUCCCSCAUUCAGGCUGCAGAGCACCUGGCUGAAAUAAACAGGAACCGACUUCCAGGACGUGCAGAGGAGGAAUCAAUAUUCUGCUCGCAGGCUAUAGAGGAUGUUUUUGAUUUUCUGAUUUCUUUCUCUUUCCCCUACAGUGAUUAUUGUCCCUGCAGAAAAUGUGGUUUUGCAGCCACAACUUUGUAAUGCCAACAUGCUUUGAAAACACAAGUGCUGCCUGUUCCUGUAGAGCAACUGGGCCUGGGGCACGGCAAYGUUACUCGAGUUGCCUGGGCCUGC